GCCACAGCUGGAGCACCAUCCGCCAAGAGCCGCUUUGUGUCAAAUUCUCUUGAGAGAAUUUUAUCCGAGUGUCAAAAUGACCCAAACACAUUCAGAACCUUGAUAUCCAGAAUCAAUUCUGGACUUUGGAGAGACUAUCAAGUGUCACUUGCUAUCAAGAGGAGUCUUUUACUAGGUGUUUCCAAAUGAGGCUCUUACCUACAAAAACUUGCUUUUCAUUGUUGUGAAUGGUCUCAGCAUCUGAUGUGGAUAGAAUGUGUCUGUCUGUGGUGGCUAAUGCUAAUUGACAAUUUGGCAAAGCCUAGCUUCUCCUGGACAUGCCUGUGGAAGAUUAUCUUGGUUACAUUGAUUGAGUUGUUUUUGUAGGUGUGCUUUUAUCACGGCAACAGGGAAGUAGCGCAAAGCCUCUCACAAAGCUCUUGUGUUGGGAACUUAGUCCUGAUGCACCGUUGAGAGGAGGGAACCUUAGGAGGUAAUAAGGUCAGGAGGUAGAUACGAAAACGGUGUCUGAAUCCAGAGACUGAGGAAACAGAAGCACAGUGGGAAGACAGAAGGUACUUCAGAGCAGAUCAGCACGGCUUCGAAUUUUGACUCUGCCUUCUCCCGACUGGGCAUCACUGGACAAGCUCUGCAGUCCCUCUGAAUGUCAUUUUACAUCUCAAUGUAAAUUUAGGUGCGGUAAAAUGAAAACAGUUUCCUGUGCGGUGAUUAAAUGCCCAGGCUGAAAACCAAA
rnacentral:lncRNA from 1 species